UGUCAGAAUGGUCUUGUUGUCAGGAAUGGUAAGGAGCCUGAGGCAGGGGAGACCUAAAUGUUCCUCGUGGGGCCAGGAAUAUAAAUAGUAGUAGAACAAUUUACCUCUUUGGGUCUCUUCUGCCUCCGGCUCCACAUCCUGCGUGCUUGUGAAAACCAAAAUGGAUUCCCCAUUUAGGCCACCAGUUAAAAUAGCACUUGGGCCCUGAUGAUGUCUAUUACAGUUUUCUAUCUACAUGUCACUGCAUGAGUGGCAUAGAUUCUCUGCCAGAAAAACUUGUGGAAGCAGAAUUCAUAAUGGAUCUUAAAAAGGGCUGACAUUUGGGGAAAAAGUGCUAAGAGGACAAGCAUGCUCAUAACAAACAUGAGCAGGCCAAGGCUGGAGGGGAUACAGCCAAAAUUCAUCUGCUCACCACGUAUGAGGAAC